AGAGUUUGAUCCUGGCUCAGGAUGAACGCUGACAGAAUGCUUAACACAUGCAAGUCUACUUGAAUUCACUUCGGUGAUAGUAAGGUGGCGGACGGGUGAGUAACACGUAAAGAACUUGCCUUACAGUCUGGGACAACUAUUGGAAACGAUAGCUAAUACCGGAUAUUAUGAUUUUCUCGCAUGGGAAAGUUAUGAAAGCUAUAUGCGCUGUAAGAGAGCUUUGCGUCCCAUUAGCUAGUUGGUGAGGUAACGGCUCACAAAGGCGACGAUGGGUAGCCGGCCUGAGAGGGUGAACGGCCACAAGGGGACUGAGACACGGCCCUUACUCCUACGGGAGGCAGCAGUGGGGAAUAUUGGACAAUGGACCAAAAGUCUGAUCCAGCAAUUCUGUGUGCACGAUGACGGUCUUCGGAUUGUAAAGUGCUUUCAGUUGGGAAGAAAAAAAUGAAGGACCAACAGAAG
rnacentral:rRNA from 1 species